rnacentral:rRNA from 1 species
CAAGUCGAACGGCAGCGGGGGUGCUUGCACCUGCCGGCGAGUGGCGAACGGGUGAGUAAUGCAUCGGAACGUACCCAGUCGUGGGGGAUAACGCAGCGAAAGCUGUGCUAAUACCGCAUACGUCCUGAGGGAGAAAGCAGGGGAUCUUCGGACCUUGUGCGAUUGGAGCGGCCGAUGUCAGAUUAGCUAGUUGGUGAGGUAAAAGCUCACCAAGGCGACGAUCUGUAGCUGGUCUGAGAGGAUGAUCAGCCACACUGGAACUGAGACACGGUCCAGACUCCUACGGGAGGCAGCAGUGGGGAAUUUUGGACAAUGGGGGCAACCCUGAUCCAGCCAUGCCGCGUGAGUGAAGAAGGCCUUCGGGUUGUAAAGCUCUUUCGGCCGGGAAGAAAUCGUGCAGGCUAAUACCCUGUAUGGAUGACGGUACCGGAAUAAGAAGCACCGGCUAACUACGUGCCAGCAGCCGCGGUAAUACGUAGGGUGCGAGCGUUAAUCGGAAUUACUGGGCGUAAAGCGUGCGCAGGCGGUUUUGUAAGACAGGCGUGAAAUCCCCGGGCUCAACCUGGGAACUGCGCUUGUGACUGCAAGACUAGAGUACGGCAGAGGGGGGUGGAAUUCCACGUGUAGCAGUGAAAUGCGUAGAG